rnacentral:snRNA from 1 species
UGCUUGCUUCAGCAGCAAUAUACUAAAGCUGAAAUGAGAAGAUUAGCACGGUUUCUCCACUAGGACGCCAUGCGAAUUCAUGAAGCAUUCCAUAUUUUU